CGAUCAUUUUUGAUCCCGAACCCUUCUCCCAACUCCUCAUCUCAUGCGGCUUCUCCAUCCAACUCCUCUCCGGCCUCCAGAUCCGGGGCGUCAACAAGGCUGUGUACUCCUUGAGAAAUUGAUCGUCAGGGUUUCCGCGGAAGCAAUUUGGAGUCAACUAGCGUGAAAUACGAUUUUUUUUUCUCAUACCCGCACGAAGCCACUGCCUUGGGUGAUCUCGGCAGCGGCCAGGGAGUUAGGUUUGGCAGCUCGAGGAGGGAGGGUAGAGACGGGAGAGGUGGCGGCGAGCGGGCGGCGGAGGAUGGUCGGUGAGCUCGGGAGGGACGUGCAGUGGCUCAGGGAGGGAAGGUGGUGGGAUUGAGAAGCAAGGCGAGCCUCGGGGUGGCACAGGCGAGCUUCAGAGGGCAGUGUGCAGCAGAGGCCUUUUUCCUCCUUCCAUUCUUUCCCUAUUUUCAUCCGAAUACACAACUUUCUCCCUCUUUUUUCCUCUCCCUCCCUCUCCCUUCCCUCCUUUCUCUCCUCCCCUCAUUUCUCUUCUUCCCCUUCUCUUCCUUUCUCCCUGAAUGCACACUGUGUAAGCAACACUAAGUUCAUCGCGGUCUUGAUAUUUUGUUUGUUAAAAUUAGAAAAUUGAAUAGACAAAUUAUCUCUCCGUUUUCAGCCUUUACAAUUGUUUCUUUGAUGAAUCAAUAUAAUUUGGCUUACUUCUUUUUCCAUCUUCUAUAUACUGAAAAUGGAAAAGGAUUCAAGUUUCUCACGAGGAAGUGAAAUGUCUCUACUGGAGCAAUUUGAAGGUAUAUUGGAAGGAGAUAAACUCAUGUGAGCCUGCUAAGUUCCAUUUUCCUUUAUGAAAAUAUAUGCAUUUUGUAGUUUCCUUUUUGUUUUUCCCAUACCAAAUUAUGUUCCCAAUUAUAUCAUGAUUCAUGAAGAUUCUUCACACGGGCACAUAUUAAAGUUCUCUAACUGAUGGAGGAGGUAGUUUGAUUACAUUAGAGCCAAUAAGGGCUUCCUAAGACGAGAGAAAAAUUCUGGAAUAGCUCUCUGAAUGUUUUACAGAUCCAAUUCUACAAGAUAUGCUUCAUUGCCCACUGAUUUAUGAUGAAAUAGGUUUCUUGGGCCCAUCUCAGUUUGCUUCACUAGAUCAGGAUUUAAGUGGUUCUUCUCUUGACCAGUGCACUCCUAUUCAGUUGGCUGAUGUUAGUCUAGAGACUAAUAUAGUAGAUUUGAAUACAGUUCAAUAUGACAAAAUUUUUUUCUGGAACAGAAAUAAUAAAUUGGCAAUCUCCACUGAUGUGCUAUCUCAUUUGUACAUUGCUGCUCGCAUGCAUAUAUUGCAUCUUCUCAGGAAAACUCUGAUCACCUUCUUGAAGAUGAAAUUCUAAAACACACGAAGGCCUUACUGGUUUUAAGCUGCAACUUCAGUAGUGCUUGGAAUGACAGGUGGAUACAGGACAGUCGAGAUCAGUACACUAAGGAGCGUCUGGAUUCAGUAAUUGAUCAGUACACUAAGCGUCUGGAUUCAGUAACUACUGUACUAUUUUGAGAAAACAGAUUGUUGGCUACUUCAGUAUUCAGUAUUCAGUAAACUGAUUGUUAGCUAAACAGAUUGUAGCUGUUCAAAACAGAUUUUUUGUGCUCUUUUGUUUUAUAUGUGAAUAUCACUAUAUACUUUGAAACAGAAUUAGUGUUAAUUUUGAUAUUUACUAGCUUCUUAUGUAA